rnacentral:rRNA from 1 species
UACGUAGGGUGCAAGCGUUAAUCGGAAUUACUGGGCGUAAAGCGUGCGCAGGCGGUUGUGCAAGACAGAUGUGAAAUCCCCGGGCUUAACCUGGGAAUUGCAUUUGUGACUGCACGGCUAGAGUGUGUCAGAGGGGGGUAGAAUUCCACGUGUAGCAGUGAAAUGCGUAGAUAUGUGGAGGAAUACCGAUGGCGAAGGCAGCCCCCCUGGGAUAACACUGACGCUCAUGCACGAAAAGCGUGGGGGAGCAAACAGG